AUACGGAGGUAGCAAGCGUUGUUCGGAAUUACUGGGCGUCAAGGGCGCGUAGGCGGCCUUGUAAGUCGGGUGUGAAAUGCCGGGGCUCAACUCCGUGCACUGCAUUCGAUACUGCUUGGCUAGAGAGAGGUAGAGGCGAGCGGAAUUCCCGGUGUAGCGGUGGAAUGCGUAGAUAUCGGGAAGAACAUCUGCGGCGAAGGCGGCUCGCUGGGCCUCAUCUGACGCUGAAGCGCGAAAGCGUGGGGAGCAAACAGGAGUAGAAACCCCAGUAGUCC
rnacentral:rRNA from 1 species